CACCAAAGGGUUUUUUUCCCUCUUAACAAGCAUCGAGAAUAAUAGUUUUUAAAAAAGAGAGAGCUUAGAGAAAAAAGUUUUCCCAACUUCUCAUUCCGCCUUCAGUUCCAGACUUCAGAGUCACCGUGAUCAGGUUUAAGCUGUGACUAGACAGGUAGUCAACUGAGCAGGAAACAAAUGAAAUCUGAUUUUACAAAAUCUGCAAACCAAAAGCAAUGGAAGGACAACUACUAUGAUAGAAGGAUUCACUAGUGUGAAAGGGGUGAGUGAUGGAAGAUUGAAGAUGGGACAACAUUUUAAAACAUCUAGGCUUUUGAAGAUGAAAGAGAUGAAUACCAAGGCCCUUGGUGUUACAGUAAUAAAACUGAAGGGUAACACAAAGCUGGGAUUCCAGUCAGCUGUUAAAGACUGAAGAAGUAACUGACUACUGUGGUCUCGCUAGUUCACCAAUAAAGGCACAGGAUAUCAUUUUCCUGUGUUUUCUCAUAUCCAUUGGUAAAAUUAGGCUAAGUUAAUAAUAAAAACUGGCAUUCAGAAGUUAUCAAGAAACUCCCAACAUUGGCUGGAUCAUUUUCAUAAUGUUGCUAUUUCAUUUUCAUAAAUCAAGAGGCUCCAAUUGGGAAAUAAUGCAUGUGAUGCUUUAUCAUGUAAAAGCAAACCAUCGCUGAAAUUCUUCAGAAGCAUAAAGCUAUGGAAAUGUGGAGCUCUAACCAUAUAGGUCCACGUGUCUGUCUAUACGGUUAAAAGCAAAUAAUGAAUGCAAACUUUAUGACUUUAUUUGAGAAAACCCACAAU